CUUACCAGGUCUUGACAUCCCUUGACAACUCCAGAGAUGGAGCGUUCCCUUCGGGGACAAGGAGACAGGUGGCGCAUGGUUGUCAGUCAGCUCGUGUCGUGAGAUGUUGGGUUAAGUCCCGCAACGAGCGCAACCCUUAUUACUAGUUGCCAGCAUUCAGAUGGGCACUCUAGUGAGACUGCCGGUGACAAACCGGAGGAAGGA
rnacentral:rRNA from 1 species